UACGUAGGGGGCAAGCGUUGUCCGGAAUUAUUGGGCGUAAAGAGCGCGUAGGCGGUCCGGUAAGUCGGCUGUGAAAGUCAAGGGCUCAACCCUUGAAAGCCGGCCGAUACUGUCGGACUAGAGUACGGAAGAGGCGAGUGGAAUUCCUGGUGUAGCGGUGAAAUGCGCAGAUAUCAGGAGGAACACCGGUGGCGAAGGCGGGUCUCUGGGCAGUAACUGACGCUGAGACGCGAAAGCGUGGGGAGCGAACAGG
rnacentral:rRNA from 1 species